rnacentral:rRNA from 1 species
UGGGGAAUAUUGCACAAUGGGCGCAAGCCUGAUGCAGCCAUGCCGCGUGUAUGAAGAAGGCCUUCGGGUUGUAAAGUACUUUCAGUCGGGAGGAAGGUGGUAAGGUUAAUAACCUUAUCAAUUGACGUUACCGACAGAAGAAGCACCGGCUAACUCCGUGCCAGCAGCCGCGGUAAUACGGAGGGUGCAAGCGUUAAUCGGAAUUACUGGGCGUAAAGCGCACGCAGGCGGUCUGUCAAGUCGGAUGUGGAAUCCCCGGGCUCAACCUGGGAACUGCAUUCGAAACUGGCAGGCUAGAGUCUUGUAGAGGGGGGUAGAAUGCCAGGUGUAGCGGUGAAAUGCGUAGAGAUCUGGAGGGAUAACGGUGGCGAAGGCGGCCCCCUGGACAAAGACUGACGCUCAGGUGCGAAAGCGUGGGGAGCAAACAGG